UUAUAUCGUGAUAUAUUUGACCAGGGUUACCAGGUAACCAGCGGUUAAGAUAAAAUCCCGAUCAUAAACUGAUCGAGUGGAGAAGGCCACAGCCGCACACGAUAAUAUAAUAUCCAUCUUUCAAAUCUUACAAGUAACCGCCUAGUAAACCUAACAAUUCUUUAAUAAUUUUAGGUAAACGCAAAAUAACACUCAGUAUGGGGUCCACCGCACGAAGGGGUAGUGUGGCCACGUCACCAAAUCUCUGUCGUUUAUGAUCCUUGAAUAUCUUUACUGCCAACACGGAGGUCGC
rnacentral:lncRNA from 1 species